rnacentral:rRNA from 1 species
ACAUGCAAGUCGAACGAAGUAGCAAUACUUAGUGGCAGACGGGUGAGUAACAUGUAGGUAUCUGCCCUUUGGCCUGGAAUAACACGAGGAAACUUGUGCUAAUACCGGAUAAGUCUUUACGGAGAAAGCUUUAUGCACCAUUGGAUGAGCCUGCACUUGAUUAGUUUGUUGGUGGGGUAAUGGCCUACCAAGACUGUGAUCAAUAGCUGAUUUGAGAGGAUGAUCAGCCACAUUGGGACUGAGACACGGCCCAAACUCCUACGGGAGGCAGCAGUGGGGAAUCUUGCACAAUGGAGGAAACUCUGAUGCAGCGAUGCCGCGUGAGUGAAGAAGGCCCUUGGGUUGUAAAGCUCUUUCGUCGGGGAAGAAAAUGACUGUACCCGAAUAAGAAGG